rnacentral:rRNA from 1 species
AUUGAACGCUGGCGGCAGGCUUAACACAUGCAAGUCGAGCGGGGUGAUGGUGCUUGCACUAUCACUUAGCGGCGGACGGGUGAGUAAUGCUUAGGAAUCUGCCUAUUAGUGGGGGACAACAUCUCGAAAGGGAUGCUAAUACCGCAUACGUCCUACGGGAGAAAGCAGGGGAUCACUUGUGACCUUGCGCUAAUAGAUGAGCCUAAGUCGGAUUAGCUAGUUGGUGGGGUAAAGGCCUACCAAGGCGACGAUCUGUAGCGGGUCUGAGAGGAUGAUCCGCCACACUGGGACUGAGACACGGCCCAGACUCCUACGGGAGGCAGCAGUGGGGAAUAUUGGACAAUGGGGGGAACCCUGAUCCAGCCAUGCCGCGUGUGUGAAGAAGGCCUUAUGGUUGUAAAGCACUUUAAGCGAGGAGGAGGCUUACCUAGUUAAUACCUGGGAUAAGUGGACGUUACUCGCAGAAUAAGCACCGGCUAACUCUGUGCCAGCCGCCGCAGUAAAAC